AGGACGAACGCUGGCGGCGUGCUUAACACAUGCAAGUCGAACGGAAAGGCCCGCUUGCGGGUACUCGAGUGGCGAACGGGUGAGUAACACGUGGGCAACCUGCCCUCAGCUUCGGGAUAACACUUGGAAACAGGUGCUAAUACCGGAUAAUAACCUUUCAUCGCAUGGUGGUUGGUUCAAAGUUUUUCGGCUGAGGAUGGGCCCGCGGCCUAUCAGCUUGUUGGUGGGGUAAAUGGCCUACCAAGGCGACGACGGGUA
rnacentral:rRNA from 1 species